ACUCAAAUGAAUAGACGGGGGCCCGCACAAGCGGUGGAGUAUGUGGCUUAAUUCGAUGCAACGCGAAGAACCUUACCUGGGCUUGACAUGCAUCGUGUCGCCGGUGAAAGCCGGCUAGUGUAGCAAUACACGCUUUGCACAGGUGCUGCAUGGCUGUCGUCAGCUCGUGUCGUGAGAUGUUGGGUUAAGUCCCGCAACGAGCGCAACCCUUGUGAACUGUUGCUACCCAGCACUUCGGUGUUGGGGCACUCUGUUCAGACUGCCCUGUGAAACGGGGAGGAAGGUGGGGACGACGUCAAGUCAGGAUGGCCCUUACGCCCAGGGCUGCACACGUACUACAAUGCUCAGUACAGAACGAACCGAAAUCGCGAGGUGGAGGAAAUCACUAAAACUGAGCCCAGUUCGGAUUGUAGGCUGCAACUCGCCUACAUGAAGCCGGAAUCGCUAGUAAUGGCGUAUCAGCUACGACGCCGUGAAUACGUUCCCGGGCCUUGUACACACCGCCCGU
rnacentral:rRNA from 1 species